UACGGAAGGGGCAAGCGUUGUUCGGAAUUAUUGGGCGUAAAGGGCGCGUAGGUGGUCUUGUAUGUCUACCGUGAAAGCACACGGCUUAACCGUGUAGAGUCGGUGGAAACUGCAGGACUUGAGGUUGGGAGGGGCUGGUGGAAUUCCCUGUGUAGCGGUGAAAUGCGUAGAGAUGGGGGAGAACACUUGUGGCGAAGGCGGCCAGCUGGACCAAUUCUGACACUGAGGCGCGACAGCGUGGGGAGCAAACAGG
rnacentral:rRNA from 1 species